CCUGUAGGGCACGUCUGCUGGUGAGAAAAUCUCUUAGCAAUUCUUGUUCGUAAAAGAUUUUAUUUAUCUUUCACUUAUGAAGCUUAGUUUGGCUGGAUAUGAAAUUCUAGGU